UUGAAUAUUGUUUUAUUGAAUUUAUAUUCAUUUUAUUGAAUAUAAAUUUUCUUAUUUCUUUUUAUACAAUUUUUGAAAUUAAAAAGUACAGUACCAUACAUACAAAAUACAGAAUUGAUCAAAUCACCACUUAAAACGACUGUUUUUAUAAUUAAAACAUGCGCCUUAUUUUGAAUUUCAUGAAGAGAUUCGGAAAAGCUUCUUUAUCGAUUUCGAUAGAAGACUUCUUCAACAUUACAAAGAAAUUUCCCAUCAAGAUGACCAAUUCUCUCUACUCCAUAUUUUCCAGUCUGUGGAAUUUGAGAAGCAUCCAGCAACAAAACGAAAGAUGCACAGAAAUAUCACUUUUUAAUGUACUAACACACAAUUCAGAAAUGAAGUAAGAACUACAAACGACGAAAUUAUAAAAAUUCUGUCGGAAGUUAAAAGGAAAACGAAACUUAAUUGUACAAAAGAACUUGAACUGUAUUAAAAUA